GAUUUCAGCAGCAAUUCUGAUGCGUGUUCGCCACAAGAGUGGUCCACUUUGGUUCUUACACUGCAGACAGUCCUCUAGGCUUCCGUUGGACAAGAAUUCGAAAACCAAUGCUUUGGCCUCUCGGCACACUCCUAUCAGAGUAACAAGCUCUUCCUUCUGGGAAUUGGCCUGGAGAAGUUUGUUCUUCAGUUGUGCGCUUUUCUCAUUAGCCUUCUGCAGCUCAUUGCGUAUAUGGACGUGCUCUUUUUCGAGGACGGUCUUUUCUCUGGACUGUUCUUCUCGAUGACGAGCGUCUCAGCUUGGAUCUGUAAUUUUUUUUUAUGAUAGGGCAUACAACGACAGUAUGGUAAGUAUAUAUGAUUUCAGAAUUCAGCCUGCAUUGGUUGACUGCGUACUGACCUUGAGAGAAACUCUGCAGAAAUCGAGGUACUGGUUUAAAGGGCGGUGGACGUGCAGCAAGACAAGCUUGGGAUGGCCGGCCCGCAGGAAGUUGCGAGCUGCCCAGACGAGGUUGGACUUACCGUCCUCGGCGUCCUCCCCUACAGCCACAUAUAGCUUCCCCGCGCCAUGAUUGUCGUCCAAGAUGUUUCUUGGAACUGCGGGCACCAGGUUGGCCAUCUGAAUUUUCACCGCAAAGGAGCCAAAGCCAGAUCGUUUUACGAGGGGCUCAUCCCUUGGGAUGGCGGCAUCCUCAGCGAUCUCUGGGAGGCUGGCAGCAGAGGACGGGGACGACGAGGACCGCCUACCGCCUCGACGCGUGAACAUCCUCCUGUCCGCCUUGGCCUCCGGCUGUUGCGACCCCGAGGAGAAGUGAUACAUCUUCCUCACCUUGUCACAGACAGGUUACAGGCUCUGGAAAUUGCUCGCCCGCUCGCUCGACCAAGCUAUAUAUCUACCCGUCUCCACCGAAGAUGCACGCAACCUUGCUGUUUCAUUUCAGUGGUUGCCACCUUUCUAUUCUAUUCUAUUCUGUUUCAUUCUUUUCCUUUAUUGGCCUGGCGUGAGUAUGUAGCCAAUGAUAGGUGUGCGUACGCCUCCCUCCUUGUCGAAUGCACACAUCACAUCCAUGCAUACCUAUAAGAAGUUAUAAUGUCGAAAAAGAAGAUUACUCAGAGAUACCUUUGCGGAUUAUAAGUUUGAUUUUGCUCGUGUCUAGGAAGCUAAUAAAAACUGAUUUUACUGAUUUCUGGUUAAAUGAAAUUAGUGGCCGUUUUGUUUUUAUGGCUUUGGCCACCAUUUAGAGGUGUUUCUUGGAUUUAUUUUACUAGAAUGCCUAUCGUGGAUCAGCCAAGCAAUUACAAAUGUAACCACAUUCUAGAGAUAAAGCUGAUUUUUUUUAGUUGAAAUGGUUAAAGUUUUGGGUUGUAGUAGCUUCCCUUUCUUAUUAGAAGGUGAUUUUAAUAAUUAGAAGAGACAAUGUCUGAUAUGUUUAACGUAAUCAUUGAGCAUUUAUGUUUGAAAGAGCUGGCUUUUGCGACCCUGGAUCCUGAUGCAUCCACAGCUGGGGCGUGUGCGGAUUGAGUGUGGGAGAGCGGAGAUGGCGGCGGGUUUGGCGUGUGGAGAUAGCGGAGACGAUGGGGAGAGGACGGCUGGAGCGUGCAGCUGCAGUGGAGAUCCCAGGGACUCGGAGACAUUUUUUACACAUCGUCGAUUGGGGGAUUUGGCCUAAUUACUCCUCGGAUUGGGGGAUUUCGCUGGAGACGUCGUUAGUUUCGUAAUAUAACGUGUUAUAAAACUAGAAUGUAAGAAGCAAAUGGUUACAAAUGAUAUAACUUAAAAUUUGAGAACUAAUCAAACAAUGGCUACUAUAAUCGAAGCAGAUAGCUUGCUGGGAUGCUUGCUUGUAAUAUUCUGCCGGAACAUCAAAUUAAAUGAUAUCACACACCAGUGCAUUGUCAUUCUUCAGUGGUAAUCAAAUGGCAAGUGUUUUUUUUCUUCUUGAAUGCCAUUGAGUAUUUUAUGUGAAAUGGAUGGAGUUAUUACCUGUAAUACACAAAGUGAGAUUUAAGCAUUGCAAGAUGUUAGUAUUCCUCUUAUGUGAUGAAUAGUACCAGUAUCUGCAAAUCUUUUGGCAGAUGGACACCAUAUUGUGCAUGUGCUCUUCCAUCACAGGUGAGAACAUGGAAUGAUUAUGCAGCAAAUCUUCUGGGUUUUGUAACAUUAAUAUAAUCCGUUUUACAUAUUGACAGGAUUUAGAAUUAAUUCCUAUUUACUAUUUUCUCUGUGUUUCUUUGUUGCAGGUGUUUUACGUUGUCCCAUCUCAUAUGUGGUAGGCUUGAUAGACUGUCUGUGACAGAUUCAUCUUGGUCUCGUGGUAAAUCUUGAUGUGUCUCUCCGCCAAAAAGGGACAUAUCCUUAUUUCUGCUAUUUAGCUGAGCACGUUUGAAAUGCAAGAUUGCUGUGAUGCGAGGCAGUAGAGGGAUCCGCGUGCGACCGGGGAAUGAUGCGGCCGCAACGGGGCGUGAGCGUGGGCAGGGCCCGGAUGGAUCCCGAGCUGAUGACGAGGGCUGUGAACAAGGUUUUGAAAAUCGGUUGUUUCUUUAGCAAAGUCAAUUGGAUUUGUGCUUGUUCUAAUCUGAUGUUUAUAUAUCCAAAUAAAGCAUGCACACACAGUUAUUAAUGUUUGUUUUAAAACAUA